CGUGCUUGCCUUUUGAUGACGACCGGCGCACGGGUGCGUAACGCGUAUGCAAUCUGCCUCAUACUGGAGAAUAGCCCAGAGAAAUUUGGAUUAAUGCUCCAUAGUAUUAUUGAAAGGCAUCUUUUAAUAAUUAAAGGUUACGGUAUGAGAUGAGCAUGCGUCCUAUUAGCUAGUUGGUGUGGUAACGGCACACCAAGGCAACGAUAGGUAGGGGCCCUGAGAGGGGGAUCCCCCACACUGGUACUGAGACACGGACCAGACUCCUACGGGAGGCAGCAGUGAGGAAUAUUGGACAAUGGAGGCAACUCUGAUCCAGCCAUGCCGCGUGCAGGAAGACUGCCCUAUGGGUUGUAAACUGCUUUUAUAUGGGAAGAAACAGUCCUACGUGUAGGACCUUGACGGUACCAUAAGAAUAAGCAUCGGCUAACUCCGUGCCAGCAGCCGCGGUAAUACGGAGGAUGCAAGCGUUAUCCGGAAUCAUUGGGUUUAAAGGGUCCGUAGGCGGAUUAAUAAGUCAGAGGUGAAAUCCUGCAGCUCAACUGUAGAACUGCCUUUGAUACUGUUAGUCUUGAGUUAUUGUGAAGUGGUUAGAAUAUGUAGUGUAGCGGUGAAAUGCAUAGAUAUUACAUAGAAUACCAAUUGCGAAGGCAGAUCACUAACAAUAUACUGACGCUGAUGGACGAAAGCGUGGGGAGCGAACAGGAUUAGAUACCCUGGUAGUCCACGCCGUAAACGAUGGUCACUAGCUGUUCGGAUUUAUCUGAGUGGCUAAGCGAAAGUGAUAAGUGACCCACCUGGGGAGUACGUUCGCAAGAAUGAAACUCAAAGGAAUUGACGGGGGCCCGCACAAGCGGUGGAGCAUGUGGUUUAAUUCGAUGAUACGCGAGGAACCUUACCAGGGCUUGAAUGUAGUGGGACAGGUCUAGAGAUAGACCCUUCUUCGGACUCAUUACAAGUGCUGCAUGGUUGUCGUCAGCUCGUGCCGUGAGUGUCAGUUAAGU
rnacentral:rRNA from 1 species